rnacentral:tRNA from 1 species
AAAUUAGCUCAGUUUGGUAGAGCUUUUGUUUUGUAAACAGGUUGUCGAUGGUUCAAAUCCGUCAUUUG